rnacentral:rRNA from 1 species
GUGUCAGCCGCCGCGGUAAUACGAAGGACCCGAGCGUUAUCCGGAUUUAUUGGGUUUAAAGGGUGCGUAGGCGGGUUAUUAAGUCAGUGGUGAAAGCCUACAGCUUAACUGUAGAACUGCCAUUGAUACUGAUAAUCUUGAGUAUGAUUGAGGUGGGCGGAAUGUGUCAUGUAGCGGUGAAAUGCUUAGAUAUGACACAGAACACCGAUUGCGAAGGCAGCUCACUAAGCCAUAACUGACGCUGAUGCACGAAAGCGUGGGGAGCAAACAGGAUUAGAAACCCGAGUAGUCC